GAUGAACGCUAGCUACAUGCUUAACACAUGCAAGUCGAGGGGCAUCGGGAAGAAAGCUUGCUUUCUUUGCCGGCGACCGGCGCACGGGUGAGUAACACGUAUCCAACCUGCCCUUUACUCGGGGAUAGCCUUUCGAAAGAAAGAUUAAUACCCGAUAGCAUAAUGAUUCCGCAUGGUUUCAUUAUUAAAGGAUUCCGGUAAAGGAUGGGGAUGCGUUCCAUUAGGUUGUUGGUGGGGUAACGGCCCACCAAGCCUUCGAUGGAUAGGGGUUCUGAGAGGAAGGUCCCCCACAUUGGAACUGAGACACGGUCCAAACUCCUACGGGAGGCAGCAGUGAGGAAUAUUGGUCAAUGGGCGCUAGCCUGAACCAGCCAAGUAGCGUGAAGGAUGAAGGCUCUAUGGGUCGUAAACUUCUUUUAUAUAAGAAUAAAGUGCAGUAUGUAUACUGUUUUGUAUGUAUUAUAUGAAUAAGGAUCGGCUAACUCCGUGCCAGCAGCCGCGGUAAUACGGAGGAUCCGAGUGUUAUCCGGAUUUAUUGGGUUUAAAGGGAGCGUAGGUGGACUGGUAAGUCAGUUGUGAAAGUUUGCGGCUCAACCGUAAAAUUGCAGUUGAUACUGUCAGUCUUGAGUACAGUAGAGGUGGGCGGAAUUCGUGGUGUAGCGGUGAAAUGCUUAGAUAUCACGAAGAACUCCGAUUGCGAAGGCAGCUCACUGGACUGCAACUGACACUGAUGCUCGAAAGUGUGGGUAUCAAACAGG
rnacentral:rRNA from 1 species